AAAAAACUAAAAACUUAACAGCUUUGUGUUCUAUGAUGGUCAGUCAGAUGCAGCCACAAAAGACACAAGAGAGACACAGAAAAACAAAGUCUGAUAUACUCACAGGUCCUAAAGAGACAAGGUCAUCAUAAACCAUAAGGGGCCACACAAGAGAAUUGCUAAGGGAGCCAGCUCAACCAAGCAGGUAGUAAGCCAAGAGAGAGUGAGGUCCCAUGGACAAGUGCCUUUAUUGGUGUCAAGGUGGAGUACUCAAGAAAAGGUGCAAAGGGAUUUCAAUGGUGCAUUUGAAUGUUACUAGGUCACAGCUGGGGAGGGCCCGAAGGGGAAUUUGUGAAAGGGGCCAAUCUUAUUACACUGAUAUACCUGGUCACCUGGGUAGGGUGCUCAUAGCCUAUUUGCAAGGAUGCUAAGGCAGCAGAAAAGAAAAGGGGAGGGGAGUAUGAAGCUUUAGAAACUUACAAUACACUGUAUCUUAGUUAUGUCCUAAAUGACCUCAUAAAGCAGAACUAUGGUGAAUAGACAAAAGUCACAAGCAGAGAGAUGACCUCUGAAGAUAAAGAAGGCCUUUCAACCCUCAGAGAUAUGCAAAAUGGAAAAGGCUACCUUGAAAGGCAGCGAGCCUCAUUACUGGAGGUAUUCAAGCAGAGGCCAGAGGGUCACCUGUGGGAAAGUUCUACACAGAUUCAUGCAGCACAUAGGAUUCAUGCAAUGUUCUAUGUAAUAUUAUCAGUGCAGAUGAAGCGAAGGCCUUCAACGUGUUUCCUUCUGAAGAGAGGCAACUGCAGUAUUUUCUUCUUUGCUAAUUUCAAAUCAUAUCAGGCCGAAGAUGUAUGGGAAGGCUGCAGGCAUAGUGAGGGAUUCUUAUCUCCAGGGGAAAAAAGUUGCCACACGAAUAAUGAUGCAGGCGAACAUGAUCAUUCCUCAAUGGCAAUAUGA
ensembl:lncRNA